rnacentral:snRNA from 1 species
AUACUUUUCUCGGCCUUUUGGCUAAGGUAAAGUUUAAUAGUUGUUCUUAUCAGUUAAAUAUCUGAUAUGUGGAUCAUAUGUUCACUUUGAUAUUAAUUUUUUAUAGAUUGUUUUGGGAGGUCCACCGGUUGGCAGGGUUUGACCCACCCCAAUCAAUACCAU